AGAUGUAUGGUGUCUCACGGCUGUCGCCCUCGACGCAGGGGAAUCCGGUGCGAAUCCGGAACUGUCCCGCAACGGUGAGGGGCCGGCGCGAGCCCGCCCGCAAGUCCGAGUACCUGCCGGCGGCGGCCCGAAGAA
rnacentral:ncRNA from 2 species